AACGAACGCUGGCGGCAGGCUUAACACAUGCAAGCCGAGCGCCCCGCAAGGGGAGCGGCAGACGGGUGAGUAACGCGUGGGAAUCUACCCAUCUCUACGGAAUAACGCAUGGAAACGUGUGCUAAUACCGUAUCCGUCCUUCGGGAGAAAGAUUUAUCGGAGAUGGAUGAGCCCGCGUUGGAUUAGGUUGUUGGUGGGGUAAAGGCCUACCAAGGCGACGAUCCAUAGCUGGUCUGAGAGGAUGAUCAGGCACACUGGGACUGAGACACGGCCCAGACUCCUACGGGAGGCAGCAGUGGGGAAGAUUGGACAAUGGGCGCAAGCCUGAUCCAGCCAUGCCGCGUGAGUGAUGAAGGCCCUAGGGUUGUAAAGCUCUUUCACCGGUGAAGAUAAUGACGGUAACCGGAGAAGAAGCCCCGGCUAACUUCGUGCCAGCAGCCGCGGUAAUAC
rnacentral:rRNA from 1 species